UACGUAGGGGGCAAGCGUUGUCCGGAUUUAUUGGGCGUAAAGAGCGUGUAGGCGGCUAUACAGGUCCGUUGUGAAAACUCGAGGCUCAACCUCGAGACGCCGAUGGAAACCGUAUGGCUAGAGUCCGGAAGAGGAGAGCGGAAUUCCUGGUGUAGCGGUGAAAUGCGCAGAUAUCAGGAAGAACACCGGUGGCGAAGGCGGAUCUCUGGGCCGUAACUGACGCUGAGGAGCGAAAGCAUGGGGAGCGAACAGG
rnacentral:rRNA from 1 species